UGUGAAAUGUUGGGUUAAGUCCCGCAACGAGCGCAACCCUUAUCCUUUGUUGCCAGCGGUCCGGCCGGGAACUCAAAGGAGACUGCCAGUGAUAAACUGGAGGAAGGUGGGGAUGACGUCAAGUCAUCAUGGCCCUUACGACCAGGGCUACACACGUGCUACAAUGGCGCAUACAAAGAGAAGCGACCUCGCGAGAGCAAGCGGACCUCAUAAAGUGCGUCGUAGUCCGGAUUGGAGUCUGCAACUCGACUCCAUGAAGUCGGAAUCGCUAGUAAUCGUGGAUCAGAAUGCCACGGUGAAUACGUUCCCGGGCCUUGUACACACCGCCCGUCACACCAUGGGAGUGGGUUGCAAAAGAAGUAGGUAGCUUAACCUUCGGGAGGGCGCUUACCACUUUGUGAUUCAUGACUGGGGUGAAGUCGUAACAAGGUAACCGUAGGGGAACCUGCGGCUGGAUCACCUC
rnacentral:rRNA from 1 species